UACGUAGGGGGGCUAGCGUUGUCCGGAAUCAUUGGGCGUAAAGAGCGCGUAGGCGGCCAGAUAAGUCCGGUGUGAAAAGUCAAAGGCUCAACCUUUUGAAUGCCGCUGGAAACUGUCUGGCUAGAGUCCGGAAGAGGUGAGUGGAACUCCGAGUGUAGAGGUGAAAUUCGUAGAUAUUCGGAAAGAACACCAGUGGCGAAGGCAGGGUCUCUGGGCCACUACUGACGCUGAGAAGCGAAAGCAUGGGAGCGAACAGG
rnacentral:rRNA from 1 species